GGGCUCGUAGUAUAGUCUGGACAGCACACUGGCCUCCGGAGCCUGAAACCCGGGUUCAAAUCCCGGCGAGCCCACCA
rnacentral:tRNA from 3 species